UACGUAGGGUGCAAGCGUUAAUCGGAAUUACUGGGCGUAAAGCGUGCGCAGGCGGUUUUGUAAGUCUGACGUGAAAGCCCCGGGCUUAACCUGGGAAUUGCGUUGGAGACUGCAAGGCUUGAAUCUGGCAGAGGGGGGUAGAAUUCCACGUGUAGCGGUGAAAUGCGUAGAGAUGUGGAGGAACACCGAUGGCGAAGGCAGCCCCCUGGGUCAAGAUUGACGCUCAUGCACGAAAGCGUGGGGAGCAAACAGG
rnacentral:rRNA from 1 species